AGCCACUUAGUCCCUCAAGAUGCAAGGUUUGCUAAGUGUUUUGAGGUUGCAAACUGACUUCUGGGUUUUGAGAACUAUUUGACUUUCUGGCUUCACAACUGGCCAUCAAACUACAGUCAGUCAUGCAACAGGAGCCUCUGAUGACGACCCUUUCUGCUGGGAACCCUUAAAUAGGCCUCUGAGGGAGCUCUGACUGCGGCUUCCCCCAAAACAGCGCCCCCUGUCAGCAGGAGGCAAUAAUGGAGCUAUUUUUUUCUUUCGUUGUCCAAGUGGAAGAUGUUAAAAAAGAAACCCUCAAUGGUAAUGCAGUUUAUACCAACUUCACACAAUCUGUUACACUCAUUGAUCCGUGGAAUAAUCAUGACACUCAAAUGAAUUUGUAUGCUGGUAUUUACUAUGGGAAUGUAAAAAGAAUAUUACACUAGGUUUUGACAGAUUUGGGCUAACAGGUAAAUCUUUAUUGUAAAAGAUUUUAUUUUAAGAAAUGGGAUGUACAAGGGAAAUGGUAAUUAUGUUCCCAAAGCAUCAAUAAUUUCAAAAAGAGAAUGUAGAAGAAGAUUGUUUUCCAUAGUUUUAACACAGAAAAUUUAAUACUCUAUCAAAAAGAAGGCACCUUCUCCCUGUAGCCUCUGAAGCUUUCAGAGCACACUGUAAUACAAUUUCAAAAGGAAGCCACUUCUAUAAAUUCAUACCCACCCUGGUGUGCAACUGACAGCUUCAGAGGUAACAUUAUUGACUGCUUACACAAGAAAAUCUUCAUGCAAUGCAAAUUUAAAUUUCCAAGCAUUUAAUAUUUUUUCAAGAUAUUGUAGAACCAAAAAUUAGUAAAUAUUUUUUAAAGUCCAGCACCCUUUUGAGAAAGAAUAAAUCUUCUUAUUUAUGGCCUUGCUUUUAUCAUAUAAUAGUUGAAUCUGUGUAAUAUUUUCUUAAGUAAUAAGCAUAAUAACAAAAUUAAUACCUGUGAAUCUAGCACUCAAAUUGUGAACUCAGAUCUUCCUAGUCUCACUGGAGUUACCUGAGUCUUACAACCCCACCACCUGCCGCACCAGAGGUAGCCAUAGCACAGAAAUCCAUAGCUUUUAUGUAUGCGUAGAUCUUUAAACAUUAUGUUGUUCCCCUUUACUUGUGCUUGAGUCUUAGAAAAAGGCACAAUACUUUAUUUAGUUCUCUGUAAUUUGAUUUUAUUUAUUUACCAUUUUAAACUGAAUAAUUACUUCUAAGAUUCAUCCAUUUUGUUCCAUUUAGCUACAAUUUAUUAUACACUAGUGAAAUGAGUAUUUUGCAUACUAAAUAAAUAUUCUACAUUAAAUAAUAAUUCAUUCUCUCAUCAAUCAAUAUCAGGUUUUUUCCAAUAUUUUGAAAUACCAAAUAAUGCUACUAUGAGUAUAUUUGUAUAUAUGACUUCUGGAACACAUAUUCAUGAAAAUAUACUUGAGAAUGAGAUUUCUGGAUCACAGGAAACUCAAGUAUUUAACUUUUUCAAGUAAUGCCAAGUUGACGCUCCCAUAGACAGCGUGCAUUUUCUUCUUUUGCAUUCUGACACUUGGUAUUGUUAGAGUUCUUAUGUAUUUACCCAUUUAACAAAAUUAUGUUCUCGUUUUGAAUUUCCAUGACUACUAAGCAUCCACUAAGCAUACUUCCCUAUCACUCUAUCUAUCUAUCUAUCCAUCCAUCCAACUAUCUACCUAUCAUCUACCAGUCAUUUUUGUUUUGUUUUCUAUAGAAUGCCUGUUCAUGUUUUACUCCUUUUCCCAGUGGAUUGUCUUUUAUGAUUAAAUCAUAAGAAUUUUUAUAUUUCUGGAUAUUAGUCUUUGUUGUAAGUUCUCUCAGAUGAUGGCUUAUCUUUUUGUUUUCACUAUGGUGUCUUUUGGAGAACAGUAAGUCUUAAUUUUAGUUUCUUAACUUUUAUGUUGGUGGCUUUUGGGUCUUAUUUAAGAAAAAAUUUCUUAAAGUCAGAAAGAUAGUGUCCUAUAUUUUCCACCAAGUGUUUAAGUAUGACUUUUAUAUACCUUUUAAGUCACUAAUCCAUUAAAUUUUCUGUAUGGUAUGAGAGAGAAAUUCAAUUGCAUUUUUUUCCAUGUGGAUAAGCCAAUUACCCCUGCACCAUUUAUUGACAAAUCUAUCCUCCUCCCACUGAUGGGCAAUUGCACCACUGUCACAUAUCAAGUCUCCUUCUAUGUAUUUGUUUGU